rnacentral:lncRNA from 1 species
GCCAGAGUGGAAAGAGACUCGAGUCUUAAACAAUUGCAGUCAAAAUAUCCUAGCAAAGUGAAACACUGCUAAGGCCCCUUCCAGGGCCUUGAAAGCACCUGUACUGGAGAGGAGCCUUGAAACUCAUGGUGGAAGUAUAUGACAGAACUACCAGCCAACGUCAGGAAUGCUGUUGGUUAUGAAGCAAGAACUUCGUAGAAAAAGUUUAAUCCACACUGAGACAAAUCAUCAGCCUCCACCCUCUGCUCUCUCACCUGUAAGUCGCUUUCGUGUUACCUGUCCUGGGCACAUUUUUCUAGUUCUUCUUCCUGAAAUCCCCACCCAGCUAUCAUCCCUUUUCUCACGUAUAUCUGAC